rnacentral:rRNA from 1 species
GUAGGGAAUAUUGGGCAAUGGAUGCAAGUCUGACACAGCCAUCCCGCGUGCCGGAAGAAGGCCCUCAGGGUUGUAAACGGCUUUUGACGGUGAAGAAUCGACAGGAUGCGUCCUGUUUUGACGGUAGCCGUUGAAUAAGCACCGGCUAACUCCGUGCCAGCAGCCGCGGUAAUACGGAGGGUGCGAGCGUUGUCCGGAUUUAUUGGGUUUAAAGGGUGCGUAGGCUGGAAGGUCAGUCAGCGGUGAAAAGCUGUCGCUUAACGAUAGUCUUGCCGCAGAUACUUCCGUUCUUGGAUGAGGAGGAGGCCACUGGAACGGAUGGUGUAGCGGUGAAAUGCAUAGAUAUCAUCCAGAACACCGAUUGCGAAGGCAGGUGGCUGUACCUUAAUCGACGCUGAUGCACGAAAGCAUGGGGAGCAAACAGGAUUAGAAACCCGGGUAGUCC